GCCGGUGGUUACUGCGGAGGGGCCCUACCCGAUCCCAUCCCGAACUCGGUCGUCAAGCCCUCCUGCGCCGAUGGUACUGCAGGGUUACCCUUGUGGGAGAGUAGGUCGCUGCCGGCA
rnacentral:rRNA from 1 species